rnacentral:tRNA from 1 species
GGGGAAUUAGCUCAAGUGGUAGAGCGCUCGCUUAGCAUGCGAGAGGAAGCAGGAUGGAUGCCUGCAUUCUCCA